UGGCUCAGACGGUAAAGCGUCUGUCUGCAGUGCAGGAGACCAGGGUUCGAUCCCUG
rnacentral:tRNA from 1 species